rnacentral:rRNA from 1 species
AUUGAACGCUGGCGGCAGGCCUAACACAUGCAAGUCGAACGAGUGGCGGACGGGUGAGUAAUGUCUGGGAAACUGCCUGAUGGAGGGGGAUAACUACUGGAAACGGUAGCUAAUACCGCAUACCAUCAGAUGUGCCCAGAUGGGAUUAGCUUGUUGGUGGGGUAACGGCUCACCAAGGCGACGAUCCCUAGCUGGUCUGAGAGGAAGACCAGCCACACUGGGACUGAGCCACGGUCCAAGAUCCUGCGAGAGUGAACAGGGGGGAAUAAUGAACCAUGGUGGCAAACCAGAUGCAGCCAAGCCGCGUGUAUGAAGAAGGCCUUCGGGUUAUAAAGUACUUUCAGCGGGGAAGCGUUACCCGCAGAAGAAGCACCGGCUAACUACGUGCCAGCAGCCGCGGUAAUUC